AUGAAGUUGCCUUUUCUGCUGCUGGUGCUGCUGCUGAUUCCUGCUUCCAGAAGUGAUGUUGUGAUGACCCAAAUUCCAACCUUCCUAUUUUUCAUCCUUGGAAAUGAAGCCUCCAUCUCCUGCAGGUCUAGUCAGAGUGUUGGACAUAGUGGUGGAACCACAUAUUUGGAAUGGUACCUGCAAAAGCCAGGCCAUUCUCCACAGCUCCUGAUAUACAAGGUUUCUAACCGAUUUUCUGGUGUCUCAGACAGGUUCAUUGGCAGUGGUUCAGGCACAGAUGCUACACUCAAGAUCAACAGAGUGGAGCCUGAGGAUUUAGGGGUAUAUUAUUGCUUCCAAGGUUUACAUUUUCCUCCCACAUUGAUUCAGACCCUAACAAAAACAUCAUUGCUUGGUGUGCCCCAGCUGCCAAAUGUGUUACUUAUCCAUGUGAGAGAGAGCUGCUGA